rnacentral:tRNA from 1 species
GCUAGGAUAGCUCAGUCGGUAGAGCAAAGGAUUGAAAAUCCUUGGGUCACCAGUUCAAGUCUGGUUCUUGGCA